AAUGAACGUUGGCGGCGUGGAUUAGGCAUGCAAGUCGAGCGAGAAGCCUCCUUCGGGGGGUGGAAAGCGGCGCAAGGGAGAGUAACGCGUAGAUACCUGCCCUCGGGUUCGGGAUAGCCACGGGAAACUGUGGGUAAUACCGGAUAAUGUCUCCGGACCAAAGAUUUAUUGCCUGGGGAUGGGUCUGCGUCCUAUUAGCUUGUUGGUGUGGUAAUGGCUCACCAAGGCGACGAUGGGUAGCGGGCGUGAGAGCGUGGCCCGUCUCACUGGGACUGAGACACUGCCCAGACACCUACGGGUGGCAG
rnacentral:rRNA from 1 species